ACUUAUUUAAAGAUGUAUAAUGUGUUUAAAUUGAGUGUUUUAGUGUCCACUUGUAUGAUAACAUUUAAAAGAUAAACAAUUUGUUGAUAUUUUAUAAUGUUAGAUGUUUUUGUAUGCAAGUGAUGAAUAUUAAAUUUCUCCAAAUCUGAUGAAGAAACAAACUCAUCUACAUUUUGGAGGGCCAGAAGGUAAGUAAAUUUUUCAAUAAAUUUAGAUUUUUGUCUGAACUAUUCCUUAAAUACUCUGAUAAAUUGUGUUUUAUUGUCAGCAUGUUAUACAGCCCUGCAGUAUGAGGUGGAGAGAAAAGAACAGGGUCUUGAAUCCACGGGUGGGACGAAGUGGAGCGUCUUCCCUCACCGCACACAGUUCUGCAGCUUUCCAUUGAUUCACUGCCUAGAACCUGAACCCUGGGCCGGCAGGGUGCCGGGGGACUUAUAGAUCACCUUCAAAAAUAGCCUGUCCAGAGGGGAGGACAACGGGAUAAAGGGUGGAGAGAGAGAGUCUGGCAAGGAGAGAAUCCUCCCUCUCCAGGCAAGCCACCGAUAGCACCCUGUGUGUAUUUAUAGAUGAACAACAGCAAACCUGAACCUAGAUCAAUAUGCUCUGGGACGUGACAUGAUCUGCUCGCUGAAGGGAUGGAAACCUGGCUGAGAGUACAGGCCCCUGGGACGCAGAACAGGGAUAAACCUCAGGGCCCGUGAAAAAAGUGAAGAAAAAAAGAAAAAGUCAAGAAAGACGCCAGCCCAAGGCCAAUGAAGAUGAUAAAACUAUCAAAUCAUGCCUGACUGCAUGUGUUUCCUAUGUUCUAUGCUCGGGGCCAACUACCAUCGUCCCGUAGACCUCCCAGACACCACAGGACCAAGCUGGAGGGAAGGUGUCUACCGGUGUCUGGGGAGUGACCGGUCCCGAGCCAGAACUGGCCCGCCGCCGUCCGCGGCUCACCCAAGCCAACAGGAUGUUAAUAUGUUAAGCCUGCCUGUCCCAAAGCUCACUCCAGUGCCUGCUCCUCGAAAGCGCCUUCCAGAGCGCCCUCCAGUGCCCACUCCUUGAAAGUGUCUUCCAGAGUUCGCUCUAGUGUUGGCCGAGGCCCCAGAGUUUGCUCCAGUGUUGGCCCAGACCACACCUUUUUCCCCCGAUCCAGAAGAGGAAACUAGGGAUGAGGAGAAGGGUGUCGGCCCAGGCCCCCGAGUUUGCUCCAGUGUUGGCCCAGCCCCAGAGCAAAGCCCAGGAAGGGCUCCCGAUCCCCAGUCAAGCCCAGGAUGGGCUCCUCUUCCGGAGUUGAGCCCAAGAUGGGCUCCUGUUCCCAAGUAUAGCCCACAGAGGGCUCCUGAUCCCCAAGUCAGCCCAGGGAGGGCUCCUGAUUCCCCGUUAAGCCCAGGGAGGGCUCCAGAUCUCCAGUUCCGCCCAGGAAGGGCAAUGUAUCUCCAGUUAGCUCCAGUGUCAGCUCCAGUGUCGGCUCGUCCAACUUGUAUUUAUGUAUUAUUUAGAAAAAUAAGUAAAUAUAUUUCAUUCACUGCUGAACAUGUUUAAUAAACAGUUAUAUCAACAAUGAAAAAAUAAAAAAUAAGAAUGAAACAUUAUUCAAAUCAAUAAAAUUAAUUAUUUGUAUUUUUGUGUUCAUAUAUUUGCAGAUUUUUUUUAAAAAACAGAAUAUUUAUUUACAUACAGGUACAGGCACGUAUGUAACGUGGAGUUUGGGAUUUGUUUCUUGUUCAUUGUCUUUUAUUUUGUAGUUUGGCCCCAGUCAUGUUCUGUCAUGUGAUUCCCUUGUCUGUGUGUUAUGUUCUGAUUGCUUCCUGUUGCCUUUUUUUUGUCUAGCUAUGAUGUUGUAACCCUGCUGUUGGUGAGUCUGUUUACACCAAGUCAAGUCUGUUCAAGUCAAGUCUUUUGGAUUGUUUUCUUAUUGUGUAAAUAAACUGCACUUGGGUUCUCACUUCAACUUGCCUUCAGUGGACCAUUGCUUAUAAUGUAUGUAUAUGCAAAGAGUAAUGUUGAUG
ensembl:lncRNA